AAAUUCAAACGUAUACUGCAGAGGAGAUUCUAUUGAGUUUGCUCGAAGAGGAAUGAAAGUUUGACGAAUUUCCACUGCCACUACUGGUACUAAUCACUCUGCAUUUCGAGUCAUUGUCAACCAUCUGGCAUCACACAAUGAGGUACCCUGGAUGAGGACUGUCUUCCUUAGGUACUUAGAUUAAGAUGUUCCACGCAAUGUACAGUUGCUGCAAAGCAACAUUCAUAAAUGGCUCAGCAAGCAAACCAAUAAAAUAUCUGCUUCUUAAAUAAAAUAAGUGAUACGAGCUGUCAGUUUAUCCUUGGUCCGGUUGGUUCUUUGAAACUAUGAACCUACGAACACCCCAUGUAAAAGUUACCUCUGGUGGACAGAUUUGUUUAAAAAAAUUAUCCCCUCCUUAUGAAUACAUUCUUUAAAAUUGUUAAUUACUGCGUUCAUUUUCAUACUGAUAAUUUGCAGAUCUUCCCUAUGCAUCCUCAAAUCCCAAAUUUUCAUAUCACUAACUUGUAAAAAAUUACAAAGAGGUAUAAUUUUGUAAUUUUUUUGUUUCUGUGAACAGUAACUUUUUAGAAGAAUAAAAUUUUGGUCCGAUGAGAAAGAGCUGAUAUUAUUCCUCUACCUCCCUCCACCAAUCAUACAUCUAUUAAUAUUGUCAAAUUACUUGCCUCUGUGUUUGAUAUUUUUCGUUUUUUCACAAUUAAUGAAUGAAGUAAAAUUCUAAUUCCAUGAUUUCAUUUCAUUUCAGCGAUUAAAAUUGUCUGCAUCAAAUUCCUCUGAUAAUUUUGCUGUCAGAGCCAUUUACUGUUUUAUGUUUAAAAUUUUUUUUUGGAAGUUAAAUAUAGUAACUUCAGUAAUUUUUCUCAAAAUAUUCCCUCGCAAGUAGACGUUUCACUUGCUUAUUUCAUUCAUUAGUUUUGGAAAAAACAAAAGAAUAUUUUUCAUGCAACAUGCAACCGGGUGGUCAAGGGACGUACUCAAACCUCCCACGCCCCUACGAGCUUGAUUUUGUUUCCCACCAACUUGGUAGAUCGCACAAAGGCGCGCGUCGCUUUUUCUUGCCAAAGUGAAGAAGUGGUACGUUCAGCACCACUUUCUCCUUGAUCCCAUUGUUGACCCAGGCUUCACCCUGUGCUGUGUGGGCUUUAUGGCCGUGCCUCUUCCAAGUCUUUUUCUUCCAUGGCCAGAGGAAGUCAUUAAAGCCGCAUCAGCAACACGAACAUUGUAAUCGGAUUUAAGUUCCCUGACUUUUUGUCUUCCCUGACAUUUCCUGAUUUUUCCCGGUCGUUACAAAUUUCCUGACAAUAACCAGUUUUCCAGAUUUAUGGCCACCCUGCUAGUCACAUGGUGAAGACUUGGGCCGUUAUUGCGAGCCAGUUCGGUAUGUCUCACCAUGCCCUCUCUAGGCAUAUAGCUGUUCGAUGAUCUGCACAAUCGUUGUAACUGUUCCCAAUUUACCAAGUUCCCGGAAUAAGAAUAGUGAAUAUACGCAAGUACCCAUACCUACGUGUGAUAUAUCAUGGGUCAGUUGCGCUGGUCACAUGCAGAAUCGUGGCUGAUUUUUGUAGAUUAGCUAAGAAUAAUAAGAUCUGUCCUAACAGCAACUUUCUAAAAUCAAUAUUAAUAGAGAUAUCGCCCUUUGAAAAGAAGUAGGGUUUAUUUAUGACCUCAUCCACUGCGGUAGUGACACCCUUGCUUUCUUUCACCUUGCUUCCAUCCGAGUUUCACGUUGAAUAAAGCGUCCAGCUCACUUUCAAACUGGGGCUCUCAAACUGGCAUCAAUUCUUCUAUUUCUCAGCCAUUUCUGCACGGAAUUCCUUGAAAAUUUCAAGAUCUGAUCCAUGAUGUAUC